rnacentral:lncRNA from 1 species
CCGAAUCCCCUAUUCCUUAUUUCCCCUAUCACUCAGGCACUGGCAGGGUCCUUUGCCCACUCCUGUUGGCCGCUGCGGCUCCAAAGCGAGCUGGGCAGAUGUGCCUGACACAGGUUUGACCAGGCAACUGAAAAGACAUCUCUAAGAGAAGACAAAGCAAAGGUAUGAAAGGAACACACGUCCCUGACUGACUAGGAGGAACAGAGCUGCCUGCUAUCUGGAACAACUUCCUCCCAGACUAACUGUGAGUCAAACAGAAUCUGCCAACCUCUGGGCGGUG